UAUCUAGCUUGUUGGUGAGGUAAUGGCUCACCAAGGCGUCGACGGGUAGCCGGCCUGAGAGGGUGACCGGCCACACUGGGACUGAGACACGGCCCAGACUCCUACGGGAGGCAGCAGUGGGGAAUAUUGCACAAUGGGCGGAAGCCUGAUGCAGCAACGCCGCGUGAGGGAUGACGGCCUUCGGGUUGUAAACCUCUUUUAGCAGGGAAGAAGCGAGAGUGACGGUACCUGCAGAAAAAGCACCGGCUAACUACGAGCAAGCAGCCGCGGUAAUACGUAGGGUGCAAGCGUUAUCCGGAAUUAUUGGGCGUAAAGAGCUCGUAGGCGGUUUGUCGCGUCUGCUGUGAAAUCCCGAGGCUCAACCUCGGGCCUGCAGUGGGUACGGGCAGACUAGAGUGCGGAGGGGGAGAUUGGAAUUCCUGGUGUAGCGGUGGAAUGCGCAGAUAUCAGGAGGAACACCGAUGGCGAAGGCAGAUCUCUGGGCCGUAACUGACGCUGAGGAGCGAAAGGGUGGGGAGCAAACAGGCUUAGAUACCCUGGGUAGUC
rnacentral:rRNA from 1 species